rnacentral:rRNA from 1 species
CAGCCGCCGCGGGAAUACGAAGGGGGCUAGCGUUGUUCGGAUUUACUGGGCGUAAAGCGCACGUAGGCGGACUUUUAAGUCAGGGGUGAAAUCCCGGGGCUCAACCCCGGAACUGCCUUUGAUACUGGAAGUCUUGAGUAUGGUAGAGGUGAGUGGAAUUCCGAGUGUAGAGGUGAAAUUCGUAGAUAUUCGGAUGAACACCAGUGGCGAAGGCGGCUCACUGGACCAUUACUGACGCUGAGGUGUGAAAGCGUGGGGAGCAAACAGGAUUAGAUACCCGCGUAGUCCCUGUCUCUUAUAC